rnacentral:rRNA from 1 species
AUUGAACGCUAGCGGGAUGCUUUACACAUGCAAGUCGAACGAGUGGCGGACGGGUGAGUAAUCUAUCGGAACGUGCCCAGUCGCGGGGGCUAACUACUCGAAAGCUUGGCUAAUACCGCAUACUAUUGUAGCGGCCGAUAUCGGCUUAGCUAGUUGGUGGGGUAAAGGCUCACCAAGGCAACGAUCCGUAGCUGGUUUGAGAGGAUGACCAGCCACACUGGGACUGAGACACGGACCAGAUGCCUACGGGAGGCAGCAGUGGGGAAUUUUGGGCAAUGGGGGAAACCCUGAUCCAGCCAUCCCGCGUGAAUGAGAAGGCCUUCGGGUUGUAAAGUACUUUUGGCAGAGAAGCGGUAUCUGCAGAAUAAGCACCGGCUAACUACGUGCCAGCAGCCGCGGUAAUAC